ACCUGAGGUCCUUAUAUACUAUCUAGUUCAGCUUUAGCUCUGAAAUCCUUAUAUACUAUCUAGUUGAGUUUUCUCUUAGGUCUUUAUAUACUAUCUAGUUCAGUGUUAACUUCAUUGUGUACAUUUAUUAUCUAUUUAUUAGCCUCUCCCAGCAGGAAGUAGUUUAAUAUACCUUAAAAAGCUACUAAGUCACCCUUUGAUUGUUCUCUCACAUAUAGUAAAGUAGGUGUUUGUGUCUUCGAUCAAUAUAUAUUUUUGGCUAUUAAUCUUUUUUAUUUCUCUAUUUCUGAAAUUAUUUAUAGGUAAAAAAAAUAAUAAUUA